ACGCUGGCAGAAUGCUUAACACAUGCAAGUCGUGCGGUAACACUUCGGGUGACGAGCGGCGGACGGGUGCGUAACGCGUGAGAAUCUACCAUUUAGUGGGGGACAACCCGGGGAAACUCGGGCUAAUACCGCAUGUGUCCUACGGGAUAAAGCAGGGGAUCUUCGGACCUUGCGCUAAAUGAUGAGCUCGCGUGAGAUUAGCUUGUUGGUGAGGUAAAGGCUCACCAAGGCAACGAUCUCUAGCUGGUCUGAGAGGAUGAUCAGCCACACUGGGACUGAGACACGGCCCAGACUCCUACGGGAGGCAGCAGUGGGGAAUAUUGGACAAUGGGGGCAACCCUGAUCCAGCAAUUCUGCGUGUGUGAAGAAGGCCUGCGGGUUGUAAAGCACUUUCAGUAGCCAAGAUGGGAUUAAGUGUUAAUACCACUUAGUCUUGACAUUAACUACAGAAGAAGCACCG
rnacentral:rRNA from 1 species